rnacentral:rRNA from 1 species
GGAGGGUGCGAGCGUUGUCCGGAUUUAUUGGGUUUAAAGGGUGCGUAGGUGGCCUGUUAAGUCAGUGGUGAAAUACGGUUGCUCAACAAUCGAGGUGCCAUUGAUACUGACCGGCUUGAAAUAAUUGGAGGCUGCCGGAAUGGAUGGUGUAGCGGUGAAAUGCAUAGAUAUCAUCCAGAACACCGAUUGCGAAGGCAGGUGGCUACGAUUGGUUUGACACUGAGGCACGAAAGCAUGGGGAGCAAACAGGAUUAGAUACCCUGGUAGUCCAUGCUGUAAACGAUGAGGACUCGUUGUUUGGCUGUAAAGCUGAGCGACUUAGGGAAACCGUUAAGUCCUCCACCUGGGGAGUACGCCGGCAACGGUGAA